rnacentral:tRNA from 1 species
GGCAAGAUAAGUUAAUGUAAACUUUUGGGCCCAUACCCCAAACAUGCGGGAUAAAUUCCCCGCUCUUGCCA